rnacentral:rRNA from 1 species
CCCAGUUCGGACUGGAGUCUGCAACCCGACUCCACGAAGUUGGAUUCGCUAGUAAUCGCGCAUCAGCCAUGGCGCGGUGAAUACGUUCCCGGGCCUUGUACACACCGCCCGUCAAGCCAUGGGAGCCGGGGGCGCCUGAAGUCCGGGACCGCGAGGACCGGCCUAGGGCGAAACUGGUAACUGGGGCUAAGUCGUAACAAGGUACC